ACGGAAGGCAGCAGUGGGGAAUAUUGCACAAUGGGCGCAAGCCUGAUGCGGCGAUGCCGCGUGAGGGAAGAAGGUUUUCGGAUUGUAAACCUCUGUCAACAGGGACGAAAAUGACGGAACCUGUGAAGGAAGCUUCGGCUAACUACGUGCCAGCAGCCGCGGUAAUACGUAGGGAGCAAGCGUUAUCCGGAAUUACUGGGUGUAAAGGGAGUGUAGGCGGGACUGUAAGUCAGAUGUGAAAUAUACCGGCUCAACUGGUAGACUGCAUUUGAAACUGCGGUUCUUGAGUGAAGUAGAGGUAAGCGGAAUUCCUAGCGUAGCGGUGAAAUGCGUAGAUAUUAGGAGGAACAUCAGUGGCGAAGGCGGCUUACUGGGCUUUAACUGACGCUGAGGCUCGAAAGCGUGGGGAGCAAACAGGAUUAGAUACCCUGGUA
rnacentral:rRNA from 1 species